AUGUCAGCAGCCGCGGUAAUACGUAGGGGGCAAGCGUUAUCCGGAAUCACUGGGUGUAAAGGGUGCGUAGGCGGCAAGGCAAGUCAGAUGUGAAAGCCCGGAGCUCAACUCCGGGACUGCAUUUGAAACUGCUUUGCUAGAGUGCAGGAGAGGAAAGCGGUAUUCCUAGUGUAGCGGUGAAAUGCGUAGAUAUUAGAAGGAACACCAGUGGCGAAGGCGGCUUUCUGGACUGUAACUGACGCUGAGGCACGAAAGCGUGGGGAGCGAACAGGAUUAGAUACCCUGGUAGUCCACGCUGUAAACGAUGAGUGCUAGGUGUCGGGGGUCGAACCUCGGUGCCGAAGUCAACACAUUAAGCACUCCACCUGGGGAGUACGAUCGCAAGAUUGAAACUUAAAUGAAUUGACGGGG
rnacentral:rRNA from 1 species